rnacentral:misc_RNA from 1 species
UGCGGAGGAGCAUUAUAGAAUUAUAAGCGAGGGCUGUCGCUGGCCUCCUUCAAGGGGGGGAAGGGGACCCCCCAACCUCUUAAUCCACCAAACACCCGGGGAACCCCCCGGGGGCCCUUCAGGGGGUUGGCCCCUAAUACCUUUGGAAGGCCCCAAAAAAGGCCAAACGGGUGGCCUUAAAAACCAAUUGGAUUACACUUUUAACCACGGAAUCUUUGGGUCCUCCCUCCAAUAAAAAAGGAACGAAAUGGCAUAAAUAAUGGGAAUUUGCAAAUUUCAAUGGAACAUCCAAUCCUUUAACCCACCUUGGCCCCCUUGGUAAUCCCAAGGGGAUGGCUGGUUUAAUGGCCUUUAACCAAUCACCCCCCCCAAUCCCCUUCCGGCCAAGGUUGGAAUUUGGAACCUGCUGGGCUGAAAAGGGCCGCUCCCCCUUUAAUGCCUCCACCGAAAACCCAACGGUGGUUUCCGUCCGCCUGAUAAAACCUGGUGCCGCCCUUGGUCCUGGCCGGGUUCGCUUAACAUCCGCCUUCGAAAAAAAAAAAUCCUUUUGAACUUCAAACCAGGAAGACCACCCCCUGAACUUUAACCUAUUCAUAACCCGAAGGAAAAAAAC